rnacentral:rRNA from 1 species
UACGUAGGGUGCGAGCGUUAAUCGGAAUUACUGGGCGUAAAGCGUGCGCAGGCGGUUUGUUAAGACAGAUGUGAAAUCCCCGGGCUUAACCUGGGAACUGCAUUUGUGACUGGCAAGCUAGAGUAUGGCAGAGGGGGGUAGAAUUCCACGUGUAGCAGUGAAAUGCGUAGAGAUGUGGAGGAAUACCGAUGGGCGAAGGCAGCCCCCUGGGCCAAUACUGACGCUCAUGCACGAAAGCGUGGGGAGCAAACGAGG